GCGCCGCACCACAUCGGGGUUUCUCAGUGCAAAACCACCCCCGGAGCUGGCGUUAUCGGUUAGCGCGCGCGACGAUAUAAGCCAAACCCGACACUCGGCCGAUUACAACAAACUUUGUCGCAAAACUUACCAAGUACAACUUCCGGCGACCUGAAGCUGAAACCUCAAAGUUCGUUCAAGUACGUCGAACCGGAAAAAGUCAGUUUUCGAUCUGUCGCGAUCGGUAUUUUUUGUUUUAGCGCAAUUGCACGUCUUUUGGAAAUUUAGAAAAUUAUUAUAGCGAUAGACUAAUUCUAAAAAAAAAAAAAAAAAAGCAGGAUUUAAAACGGCAGGAUUUAAAAGACAAUUCCGCAAGACGCCAAACUUUAGUUCGCCAAGUUGAAGUAUUCGGCGGCGAACGUAUGGAAUUCGACGAUCGCGCGUACUUUCAAUACUCGAUCUGUCGGUGAUCAGUGCAGUGUUUUUCGAUUUAGACCCAUCACGGAAUUCCUGGGAUCUCGAUGAAAUACCGUGAAACUUUUGAUGUACGCCACCAUAUGGAAUUAAGAAAGUAGGACGAAGACAAAGAAUAGAGGAAUAAUGCAAUAAUCGAUUAAUUGUACGAUUAUAAUAAUGUAAUAAAAUAGAGGCGAAGUGUAUAAUUAGAGAAAUGUAUGACUCGCUACGAUCGAGCGAAUGUAAUAAUUGACAAACGAAUGGUACAAUUAAUAAGGGCAAACCUCAAUUCCUCAAAUUUAAGUGAACAGCGAUAAACGAGUCUUGAUAAAUCGAAUAUUUACAUUAUCCAUCAUUGCAUCUUUACACUGCUCGAUCGAAAAGUUCUCAUUGUCAGUGCGAUAUUUUAUCCCCCAAAAAAAUGCCGACUUUCGCCACGUGGUAAAUCAGACAUAUAUAUAACUACAAAAGUGGAUAAAUAAAAUCAUCAAGAUUACGUGUGAGAUCAACGUUUAAUUCGUAUUUUUAAUAAAUUUGGAGACGAAUCAAACUGACACAAGAAGUAAAAACAUCAUCAUGUCAACAUCCUUCUACACGGCCGAUUUUUUCUCAUCCCAGGAUCUCAUCGAUCCUUGAGACUUCUCCGAGAGUCGAAGGAAAAAUUCGAAAAAGAUGACACCGUGAAGCAGCGAUGAGCGAUGCCGAUGAGAGAAUCGUCGAUCGUGGAAGCCGGUCGUUCGACAGGGAGCAUGAACUUGACGAAAAGAAAAUACACCCCCGGCAUCCUCGACGUCGCCGACACCGGCCGCAGGAUCCCCAGGACGAGAUCAGGAUCCCGUUGAGGCAGAAUCGAGCUUACGUACGCCUAAGUCGCAGUAAAUGUGUGCAACGCAGUUCCUAUUUUUCUUAAUAUCUCAGCCAGACCGGUCUAACGUCGUCCUCACGUGCUGAUCGAUUCGCGUCGAAUCAUAAUAAUAAGAAAUAAUAACAUGGGGCCGAAUCUGACGAAUGUCAGCGCUCUCAUCAACUGCAGCUCGCCCUUCGCGAGCGAAAUCGAGGAGUGCAAGAGGUACGUAGAUUAUAAUCACGAACUAGUCGAAACCAUCGUGGUGGUGGUGGUGCCGCUGUUCUUCGGUAUAAUCGGCAUCCUCGGUCUCGUCGGGAAUUCGCUGGUAGUCGUGGUGGUAGCGGCGAAUCCCGGAAUGAGGUCGACCACGAAUAUUCUCAUCAUCAAUCUCGCCGUGGCGGAUCUCCUGUUCGUUAUAUUUUGUAUACCGUUCACGGCCGCCGACUUCGUCCUGCCCUACUGGCCGUUCGGCAACGUCUGGUGCAAGAUGGUUCAGUACCUGAUCAUCGUCACCGCUUACGCGAGCGUUUACACCCUGGUCCUCAUGAGCCUCGACAGAUAUCUGGCGGUGGUGCAUCCCAUUACCUCGAUGUCCUGGAGAACCGAGAAUCACGCCAUAUUGGCGAUCGGCGUCACGUGGGUGAUGAUCCUGGCUCUGUCCACUCCCGCCAUUGUGAUCCACGGCGAGAUUCGCUACGUGUUCCAGGAGGGUGACGAUCCGAUGCAGAACCUGACUGCCUGCCGGGUCCUGGCACAGUACGACUGGAUGACCUUCCAGGUGUCCUUCUUCCUCACAAGCUACGUGCUGCCCCUCGUGCUGAUAUGCAUCUUUUACAUGUCCAUGCUGAUCAAGCUCUGGCGAGGCACCCGCGUCAGCACCGAGAGUCGACGCGGCAGGAGACGCGUCACCAGGCUCGUCUUCGUCGUCGUAGGAGUCUUCGCCGCCUGUUGGUGUCCGAUACAGGUGAUACUGGUGUGCAAGUCCUUGGACGUGUUCCCGUACACCACGAUGACGAUAAUGGUCCAGAUAGUCAGCCAUAUCCUUGCUUAUACCAACAGCUGCGUCAACCCAUUUCUAUACGCCUUCCUGAGCGAUAACUUUCGCAAAGCCUUCCGGAAGAUUAUCUACUGCAGACCGAGAGCGGAGCCGAAUAAUCGGCUGGGACCAGCCACGAGGACAACGAGAGCCGCGAGCAGCGGCGAUAUUCUUUAGAGACGUAAAUUCUCUCACUGGCGACGGCGCGGAUCGGCGAAUGUCUACGAUCUAUAGGAUAUUCGGUGUUUUGAUGUCAUCUGGCGAUUAAGUGAAAAGACACGUGUGUUUUUAAUUCUUCAAAUCUCCGCCAAAUAUAUACCACCCACCCAUCCACCCACACACACACUUCAUGUUCUCUCAAUUUCUUUUUCGACAAAAUAAAUGCUCCAAGAUAACUGGACGGAAUCAGAUUUAUGGAACGAUGAUGUCGGGAAAGAAAUUAAUUCGAGCUUUUAUAUCGAAUGAAGUAAAAGCUCGUUCCUCGAUAAUGACACGAUUUAUUUUAUUUGUGUCCCUUAUUUUCUUCUCGACACUAAAAUAUCUUCGACAGUUUGCUGGCAAAAUUUUCAAAUUGUUGAUAGAUAUCCUAAAUAUUUAAGCUAUUAAAUGUAAAAAAAAGAACUAAUUAAAAUCUUUUUAUCCGAGGUAUCGUGAAACAAGAAAGAAGUCGUUUCAUUACGUUGGACAAAUGUAAUUUUUAUCGGUGCCGUAAUCCAAUAUUUGCACUGACCGAUUCGGAGCGACCUUAAACUGUACACGGACGAGGGUGUAAUGAAUUUCCCUUUGAGCUAGAUAUGCAAACGUGAAAGAGAAAGAGCAUCACCUUUAGCAACGCGAACAAACGGUUUAACGAGACGAUGGGGGAUGAUUUUAAGUAGAUAGGAGUU